UAUUAUGGGGGAUGGACGGCACCUAAUAUAUACUUCUUGGGGUUUGCUGGGGUUGUGAAGUUUGGCAAUAUCCGUAUCGGUGGACUUUCCGGAAUUUACUAUGCACGUAAUUAUUGUUUAGGUUGGGUUUGAAGUUCUUUUACUUGUCUAUUUUGUGUUUAUUCUGGAGUUCUUUUAAUGAUGAUUGUUUAUUUACUGCAAGCGAGUGUCAAAUAUGUUAUAUUGAUUCGUAUUUAGGGUGGAGAGUUGAAGCUUUGAAACUGAAAUGAAUUAGCUAGGGAGCUUCAAAAUUUUAGGGGCUAGUCCCCUGUGAACCCCUUUGGCUCAAAUGUUUUUGCGUGUAGGCUGCAUCGGAUUGU
rnacentral:lncRNA from 1 species